GGAAGAAAAAUUGUAUAUGAACCCUUUUUCUUUGCCCCUUUAUUAUUUAUACAGCAGUCCUGGACAGUUUUAAAGAAGUUUUAAGGAAUGGGAAGAUUCGAUUUGACUAGCAAUAGCUUAGUCUAGCAUGGUGUCAUGCAGAGCUUGGAGUUUGCUUUCAGCUAUGAAGAAUGAUCCCAGAGCAAAAAAGGCAGCUCGAUUGAGGAGCAAAGACCAGUAAUAGCAACUUGACACCAAUUUAUCCAGGAACAAAGGAAACCAGAGAUGCCUGUCCACAUGACCAAAGUUAGAUAUAUGUAAGAGAGUCAUAUUAGGUCUUCUACUUCAUCUUGCUACUGCAGGAUUACUCCCUAUGGUACAUUUUCUAGUGAUUUACCCACUCUAGUUUUAAAAGUCUUACAUCCUGAGGCUUCCACUAUUUCCCUUGGGAGAUGCCUACAGUUUAAGAGCUGCCCUUCACCUCUACACCCUCCAUGGGCAGGUAAUUUUCUUCCCAUGUUGGUUUACACUCCCUUCUUCAUCUAGAUGGAUUUCAACUAUGUGACAACAAAGAAAUCAAACACCGAAAUAGCAGAGGCUACAUAUCCUCUGCAUGACUAAUUUCUUCUGCCUUAAGGCAAUGUCUAGCACUGAAAUCAUAGCCUGUUUACUUCUGAUACUACAUUACACCAAAGAUUUAACUCUUGCUUAUAUAAAUCUACACAAACACAAGCCUAUUUACAUGGUUUUGUUUAGAGUUUGGAUUCAAAUAGCGUCAUUACCUUUUUCAGCCAAGCCAGUCACACAGCUUGAGCAGAACUCUAGUUUUCCUUUGAAACACAGGUAUUAGCAAACAGAAGGCUAAGGAGGGAAAGGAAACAGCAGUACACCCAUAGCCCUGUUGUUGGUGAGAAGAUUAACAGUAUUUGCAGCCAGGCGUAGUUCAGCACACAUGAAGUGGUGCAUUUGCACAGACACUAGCUUUUCUCUCUCUGUAGCACCAGCAAGUCAAGUUCACUUGCAUGAGGCUCUCUGCUACAAAGCCUUGGACAGCACCUGAUUGCUCUUUGUAAAUGCUUACUGCUACUACCGGUCCGAAGUAUUUUAAAUUAUUGUUGAAACAAAAAAUGGCUCUUUUACAAACCAUUCCUCUUGAUCUGGGGAGUUAGAAAAAAAUUCAAAACUAAACCAGCAACAGGGAGCUGAGCUAGAGCUAAAAAAAGGAGUAGCCAAUAGCUUCUACCACAUUAACUGGCUGACUGCGGUACUGAGUGAAGUUAUCCCAGUGCAGUAACCAUGAAUAGUUGGGGUUUUUUUUUUUUAGAAAAAAGCCUACUUUAGGCUAUGUCUACACUGCGCACCUUACAACAGCACGGCUAUGCUGCUGCAGCCACGCCACUGUAAGGUGCACAGUGUAGCCGUUCUUUGUCACCAGGAGAGAGCUCUCCCGGCGACAAAAUAAAACCACCUCCAACGAGGGGCGGUACCCUUCAUCCUCGGGAGCGUGGCUCCUGCGACAAAGUGCUGUCUACACUGGCGCUU